rnacentral:rRNA from 1 species
CCUACGGGAGGCAGCAGUAGGGAAUCUUCCACAAUGGGCGAAAGCCUGAUGGAGCAACGCCGCGUGGGUGAAGAAGGUCUUCGGAUCGUAAAACCCUGUUGUUAGAGAAGAAAGUGCGUGAGAGUAACUGUUCACGUUUCGACGGUAUCUAACCAGAAAGCCACGGCUAACUACGUGCCAGCAGCCGCGGUAAUACGUAGGUGGCAAGCGUUAUCCGGAUUGAUUGGGCGUAAAGGGAACGCAGGCGGUCUUUUAAGUCUGAUGUGAAAGCCUUCGGCUUAACCGGAGUAGGGCAUUGGAAACUGGGAGACUUGAGUGCAGAAGAGGAGAGUGGAACUCCAUGUGUAGCGGUGAAAUGCGUAGAUAUAUGGAAGAACACCAGUGGCGAAAGCGGCUCUCUGGUCUGUAACUGACGCUGAGGUUCGAAAGCGUGGGUAGCAAACAGGAUUAGAUACCCCUGUAGUC